rnacentral:rRNA from 1 species
GAUGAACGCUAGCUACAGGCUUAACACAUGCAAGUCGAGGGGCAGCACAGUGUAGCAAUACAUGGGUGGCGACCGGCGCACGGGUGCGUAACGCGUAUCCAACCUUCCCGUUACUCUUGGAUAGCCUUCCGAAAGGGAGAUUAAUACCUGAUGGUGUUUCAAUUCCGCAUGUUAAUGAAACUAAAGAUUUAUCGGUAUCGGAUGGGGAUGCGUGACAUUAGAUAGUAGGCGGGGUAACGGCCCACCUAGUCUACGAUGUCUAGGGGUUCUGAGAGGAAGGUCCCCCACACUGGAACUGAGACACGGUCCAGACUCCUACGGGAGGCAGCAGUGGGGAAUAUUGGGCAAUGGGGGAAACCCUGACCCAGCAACGCCGCGUGAAGGAAGAAGGCCCUCGGGUUGUAAACUUCUUUUACCAGGGACGAACACAAUGACGGUACCUGGAGAAAAAGCAAACGGCUAACUACGUG